rnacentral:rRNA from 1 species
AUGAUCUUGGGCUACUCCCAAGACGAGCGGCAGAGCAUUGCGGAUCGGCUUAACUGCCAGCUUGGGUGCUUCCCCACGACCUAUCUUGGGAUACCCAUUAGCGACACCAGGCUUACGGUGGCCGAGCUGCACCCCACGGUGGGGAAGCUCCAACACCGGAUCGAGCCCUGGCAGGGACGGUGGCUUUCAAAAGCGGCCCGUACGGUCCUUAUUAACUUGUCCCUCGCCAGCCUCCUCUUAUUCAUCAUGAGCUUCUACAGCCUUCCGGAGACUCUUCAUCACGAGAUUGCCACCGUUCAGGGGUGAUUUUACUGGGCCGGCGAGGGUGAUAAGCAGAAAUACCACAUGGUCAAGUGGUCUGAGAUCUGUAAACCCCGCGACCAGGCCGGCCUUGGGAUCAUGUCCUCCAAACGCGUGAAUAUUGCCCUUUUGACUCGGUGGCUCUGGAGGAUUAACAAUGGCAAAGGUGGCAUGUGGCUGCGCAUUAUUCAGCAGAAGUACCUCCUCGAACAGCCACUCGCCUUCUGUCAACGCUCUGGAAGAUCCCAGUUCUAG